UACGUAGGGAGCAAGCGUUGUCCGGAAUCAUUGGGCGUAAAGCGCGCGUAGGCGGCCCGAUAAGUCCGCUGUGAAAGUCAACGGCUCAACUGUUGGAUGCCGGUGGAUACUGUCGGGCUAGAGUGCAGAAGGGGCAACUGGAAUUCUCGGUGUAGCGGUGAAAUGCGUAGAUAUCGAGAGGGACACCUGCGGCGAAGGCGGGUUGCUGGGCUGACACUGACGCUGAUGCGCGAAAGCUAGGGGAGCGAACGGG
rnacentral:rRNA from 1 species